GCCAUGAUGGCGGAGUGGCUACGCGGCUGACUGCAGAUCAGCGGAACCCGGUUCGAUUCCGGGUCAUGGCU
rnacentral:tRNA from 1 species